rnacentral:rRNA from 1 species
AACUCAAAGGAAUUGACGGGGGCCCGCACAAGCGGCGGAGCAUGCGGAUUAAUUCGAUGCAACGCGAAGAACCUUACCAAGGCUUGACAUGAACCGGAAAGACCUGGAAACAGGUGCCCCGCNNNCGGUCGGUUUACAGGUGGUGCAUGGUUGUCGUCAGCUCGUGUCGUGAGAUGUUGGGUUAAGUCCCGCAACGAGCGCAACCCUCGUUCUAUGUUGCCAGCGCGUUAUGGCGGGGACUCAUAGGAGACUGCCGGGGUCAACUCGGAGGAAGGUGGGGACGACGUCAAAUCAUCAUGCCCCUUAUGUCUUGGGCUUCACGCAUGCUACAAUGGCCGGUACAAAGGGUUGCGAUACUGUGAGGUGGAGCUAAUCCCAAAAAGCCGGUCUCAGUUCGGAUUGGGGUCUGCAACUCGACCCCAUGAAGUCGGAGUCGCUAGUAAUCGCAGAUCAGCAACGCUGCGGUGAAUACGUUCCCGGGCCUUGUACACACCGCCCGUCAAGUCACGAAAGUUGGUAACACCCGAAGCCGGUGGCCUAACCCUUGUGGGGGGAGCCGUCGAAGGUGGGACCGGCGAUUGGGACUAAGUCGUAACAAGGUAGCCGUACCGGAAGGUGCGGCUGGAUCACCUCCU